rnacentral:rRNA from 1 species
GAUGAACGCUGGCGGCGUGCUUAACACAUGCAAGUCGAGCGAGAAGUUUUGAAAAGAUUCUUCGGAUGAAAUUUAAAAUGGAAAGCGGCGGACGGGUGAGUAACGCGUAGGCAACCUGCUCCAUACAAAGGGAUAGCAUUUGGAAACGAAUAUUAAUACCUUAUGAAACUUAACUAGUGCAUGCUAGGUAGGUCAAAGAUUUAUCGGUAUGGGAUGGGCCUGCGUCUGAUUAGCUAGUUGGUGAGGUAACGGCUCACCAAGGCGACGAUCAGUAGCCGACCUGAGAGGGUGAACGGCCACAUUGGAACUGAGACACGGUCCAAACUCCUACGGGAGGCAGCAGUGGGGAAUAUUGCACAAUGGGGGAAACCCUGAUGCAGCAACGCCGCGUGAACGAUGAAGGCCUUUGGGUCGUAAAGUUCUGUUCUAGGUGAUGAAAACUGACAGUAACCUAGGAGAAAGCCCCGGCUAACUCCGUG